UGUUACUGUCAGUGUCAGUGGUUUGCUAGAACAAGUUAUGCUGUUAAUUGUUAAUCAUGUCUUGCAUAAUUAUAAGUGUUAGCCAAUGGUCACUGUCAUUGUCAGUGGCAUGUACAAGUGCAAGUUUGUCUAGCAAAUGAAGCUCAUUUCACCAAUCAUUCCCCCACCAAAUUUAUAGUGUGUUAGCAUAGAAAAUGCCUUUUUGCAUGUAUAGCAACCAUUUUUCUAUAAACUAUAAAACUACAUUUACUGUAUAUGCAUUUGAGUAUAGGUGUGUGUAUAAGCAUACUUGUAUGCAUACAUUAUAUGAUUAUGUGGAUCUACAUUACAGUACAUUACUAGUAAAAAGUGACUCUGCCUAUUAUUUGGCCAUUUUUGGCCAUUUUAACCAAUAAACUGUAUUUUGUGUUUUUCAAUAAUGAAUGUACACUACCCAACUCUUUACCAUGAAUUUGUUUGCAGAUUAAAGUAACCACAAAGUUGCAUUGUGUUUUAUUGUGACUAUUUAAGAGUUUUGUCUCUGUCUCUUUCAUUUAUUCAUUCAUUGAACUGUUUUUAUUUCUACACAGAAAUAUGUGCUGUGUCACGUCAUCAUGUUCAAAGAAUGAAAUUGAAAGAUGCCUCAAACUUUUUGGUCAGGCAGCAAACCCAGCAAUGAAUACUGUAUCAACUACUAAAGCAUGAUUAGUGAGUAUAUUGAGGAAGUAUAGGUUUGAAAGCGGAUCAUCUGAUACUGAGAUACAAUUAAAAAAGAAACAAGGGUUUACUCAGUCUCCAAACGAUUGUUUUUCUAAGAAUGACUCCCUAAUAAAAUGAGUUGGAAUUAAAUUUUAUUUUUGGGUAGUUUACAAGCAUAAUAUUAUUUUGAAAUUUUUUUGCAAAAUUAUAAUAAGUUUCUGUAAUUUUAUUAGAUCAAUCUCAAGGGCGUGGUGUGGGUGUUGUUAGCCCUGCCUUAAAACCACGUGGAGUCA